rnacentral:ncRNA from 1 species
GUCAAACCCGCAGGAAGGUGGUCAUCCAGAGGUAAGAGUGGGCAAAGCCCACCGCCACCUUCCUCCUGCCAAAAGGCAGGUUUGCGGGGAAGGAGGC